UCAGUGUCAGAGUACCGCGAGAAAUCUUGCGGAGGAGGCUGAUUUCAAAUCGCUCUCGCGUUACUCUAACGUCAUCCACUUGUCGUUUCUUGCAGCGCCUCGUGAAGUCGUACACACCUAUUAAUUCAUCCUACAAGCCUAUUUUUUUGUUCUUUAGUACAUUAAUAUGAAAUAAGACCAAAAUGUAAUUUUAAAAUGUAUUUAGGUAACACUUGUAAUACAUUUGAACCCAUAUUUGUAUGAAAGAUGAGUACAAGAUUACUUAAAGUGGUAUACAUUUUUGAAAUACGAGAUAGUAUCCAACACAGCAGGAGACUCCUAUGCGGAUCCGCGUUCAAGUCGCCAAACCCGCGUGACUGUCACAUUCGUUUUGGAGCCGCACAGAGGAUCAGCUCCGCCUCCGGCAGUGGCGUAAAUUCUACUGUCAAACAGCGGAUCCUGAACGGACCCAUGUCGGAUCCUCGGACGCGCCUUUACUGAACGGUUAAACGAUGCACACCUGUCAAUCGAGACUUUCUUGCUGGGACACGGUUCAGCUGAACCCUCUUUUGAGUGCUGUGUUCAACCUGGCAACAGAUCGGGCAACAAGGAGACGUGUAAUGGAAGAAAUGAUUAAAUAAUAAAAAAACAUUUUUGUUGAACAA